rnacentral:rRNA from 1 species
UACGGAGGGGGCUAGCGUUGUUCGGAAUUACUGGGCGUAAAGCGCACGUAGGCGGCUUUGCAAGUUAGAGGUGAAAGCCCGGGGCUCAACUCCGGAAUUGCCUUUAAAACUGCAUCGCUAGAAUUGUGGAGAGGUAAGUGGAAUUCCGAGUGUAGAGGUGAAAUUCGUAGAUAUUCGGAAGAACACCAGUGGCGAAGGCGACUUACUGGACACAUAUUGACGCUGAGGUACGAAAGCGUGGGGAGCAAACAGG